rnacentral:rRNA from 1 species
CCUACGGGGUGCAGCAGUGGGGAAUAUUGGACAAUGGGCGAAAGCCUGAUCCAGCCAUGCCGCGUGUGUGAAGAAGGCCUUCGGGUUGUAAAGCACUUUCAGUGGGGAAGAAAGCCUUGGGGCUAAUACCCUCGAGGAAGGACAUCACCCACAGAAGAAGCACCGGCUAACUCCGUGCCAGCAGCCGCGGUAAUACGGAGGGUGCGAGCGUUAAUCGGAAUUACUGGGCGUAAAGCGCGCGUAGGCGGUCUGAUAAGCCGGUUGUGAAAGCCCCGGGCUCAACCUGGGAACGGCAUCCGGAACUGUCAGGCUAGAGUGCAGGAGAGGAAGGUAGAAUUCCCGGUGUAGCGGUGAAAUGCGUAGAAAUCGGGAGGAAUACCAGUGGCGAAGGCGGCCUUCUGGACUGACACUGACGCUGAGGUGCGAAAGCGUGGGUAGCAAACAGGAUUAGAUACCCCAGUAGUC